CCUACGGGUGGCAGCAGUGGGGAAUAUUGGGCAAUGGGCGCAAGCCUGACCCAGCAACGCCGCGUGAAGGAAGAAGGCCUUCGGGUUGUAAACUUCUUUUCUCAGGGACGAAGCAAGUGACGGUACCUGAGGAAUAAGCCACGGCUAACUACGUGACAGCAGCCGCGGUAAUACGUAGGUGGCAAGCGUUAUGCGGAUAUACUGGGUGUAAAGGGCGUGUAGGCGGGACUGCAAGUCAGAUGGGAAAUCCACGGGCUCAACCUGUGGCCUGUUUUUGAAACUGUAGUUCUUGAGUACUGGAGAGGCAGACGGAAUUCCUAGGGUAGCGGUGAAAUGCGUAGAUAUUAGGAGGAAGACCAGUGGCGAAGGCGGGCUGCUGGACAGCAACUGACGCUGAGGCGCGAAAGCGUGGGGAGCAAACAGGAUUAGAUACCCUUGUAGUC
rnacentral:rRNA from 1 species